rnacentral:rRNA from 1 species
CCUACGGAUGGCUGCAGUGGGGAAUAUUGGACAAUGGGGGGAACCCUGAUCCAGCCAUGCCGCGUGUGUGAAGAAGGCCCUCGGGUUGUAAAGCACUUUCAGUGAGGAAGAACGCCUGGUGGUUAAUACCCAUCAGGAAAGACAUCACUCACAGAAGAAGCACCGGCUAACUCCGUGCCAGCAGCCGCGGUAAUACGGAGGGUGCGAGCGUUAAUCGGAAUUACUGGGCGUAAAGCGCGCGUAGGUGGCUUGAUAAGCCGGUUGUGAAAGCCCCGGGCUCAACCUGGGAACGGCAUCCGGAACUGUCAAGCUAGAGUGCAGGAGAGGAAGGUAGAAUUCCCGGUGUAGCGGUGAAAUGCGUAGAGAUCGGGAGGAAUACCAGUGGCGAAGGCGGCCUUCUGGACUGACACUGACACUGAGGUGCGAAAGCGUGGGUAGCAAACAGGAUUAGAUACCCUAGUAGUC